AAUGGAUUUGGCGGCAUAAUAAACCAUUUAGAGGAACCUGCUUAAUAAACGAUAGACCACGAAGGCCUUACUUUUAUUGGUAAUCAGUUUGUAUACCGCUGUUGUAUGCUAGUUUUAUUAGAAAAUUAGCAAUAAUAUUUAAAAUAAUUACUUCAAGUAAAGGUGCAGCUAAUAUAAAAGUUUAAAGUGGGUUACAAUUAUUGAAUUAAACGAAAAAAAUUUUUAAAUGAUUUUAGAAGGUGGAUUUAAUAGUAAUUUUAAAAAUAUCUGAUAACGGCACUAUUAUGUGUACACACCGCCCGUC
rnacentral:rRNA from 1 species